rnacentral:rRNA from 1 species
GAUGAACGCUGGCGGCGUGCCUAAUACAUGCAAGUCGAGCGAACGGACGAGAAGCUUGCUUUUCUGAUGUUAGCGGCGGACGGGUGAGUAACACGUGGAUAACCUACCUAUAAGACUGGGAUAACUUCGGGAAACCGGAGCUAAUACCGGAUAAUAUUUUGAACCGCAUGGUUCAAAAGUGAAAGACGGUCUUGCUGUCACUUAUAGAUGGAUCCGCGCUGCAUUAGCUAGUUGGUAAGGUAACGGCUUACCAAGGCAACGAUGCAUAGCCGACCUGAGAGGGUGAUCGGCCACACUGGAACUGAGACACGGUCCAGACUCCUACGGGAGGCAGCAGUAGGGAAUCUUCCGCAAUGGGCGAAAGCCUGACGGAGCAACGCCGCGUGAGUGAUGAAGGUCUUCGGAUCGUAAAACUCUGUUAUUAGGGAAGAACAUAUGUGUAAGUAACUGUGCACAUCUUGACGGUACCGAAGCAGAAAGCCACGGCUAACUACGU